GACGAAGGGGGCUAGCGUUGUUCGGAAUUACUGGGCGUAAAGCGCGUGUAGGCGGUUGCCAUAGUCAGGUGUGAAAGCCUUGAGCUCAACUCAAGAAAUGCACUUGAUACUGGGCGACUAGAGGACCGGAGAGGAUAGUGGAAUUCCCAGUGUAGUGGUGAAAUACGUAGAGAUUGGGAAGAACACCAGUGGCGAAGGCGGCUAUCUGGACGGUUUCUGACGCUGAGGCGCGAAAGCUAGGGGAGCGAACGGG
rnacentral:rRNA from 1 species